GAGAAAAAGGAAAAAUAGAGUUCACGCCGUCAUCUCGUUAAUGAGAAACCGCAUCAGCUAUGAGCGAUCCGCGCUAUCCUGUCGAAGUCCGACUCAUCGGAGUAAUGAAGAAAGGCAAGGACAAUAAGUUCAUGACAUCCGUGCGGUGGUCAGACCAGACUGAGCUGAUAGUGUACAGAUCCUUCCGGGACUUCAAAACGCUCCAUAAGCAACUGAAAAAGAAGUGUCCUGUGGAUAACGAUUUUCGUAAAGAAGAUAGAGUGCUUCCCAGGUUUGGAGCCCAGUGCAUGGUGACUUCAUUUCAGCUGAAAGGUCUGGAUAAGUCAGUGUCCCGUCUAAGGUGUCUAGAAAAAUACUGUUCCAGCCUGUUGCAGUGUGAUACAACUGUGACACAUUCCUCAGAAGUCAUUAAAUUCUUCCUGCCAACUGAAAAGGAGCUUCUGCCAGAAUAUACCCAAAACAGUAUAAUGAUUCUGCAAUCAGAUAACAUCAACACCGUUAGCGGAGGACCUGACUUGGCAAAUAAACGUCUGAGCAUUGGAAAUGUGACCCAGCCUUUUGUAUCUAAGACAUAUCGAUGUGUGGCUCCAUUUGAGACAAAAGACACAAAGAACAAGCCAUUCAAAGUAACCGUGGAUGAAAGACUGGAUGUGCUGAUCAAAGACAAAGCAGGUUGGUGGCUUGUUGAGAAUGAGGAUAAAUGUCUAGCUUGGUUUCCUGCUCCCUACUUGGAGUUAUGUGAUGAGGAAGAGGAAGAGGAUGGAAAUGAAGAUGAUUAUGAUUCAGUUACCUUUGAAAGUUCUCUUUUCUGCUGUACAAGAAGUUACACCUCGAAAAAAGAGGACGAGCUAUCUCUAAGCAUUGGUGCUGUUGUGGAGGUGUUACAGAGAUCUGAUAAUGGCUGGUGGCUUGUAAGAUAUAACAGAAAAGUAGGCUAUGUGCCCUCUAUGUACCUGAAGCUAUACAGCAGCCCCUUUGGCCUUCAGACUCUUCAGAAGAAACUUCACAGCUCCACUAUCAACCUGUCUGCCAGCAACUCUUUAAAACUGGAGCCUCAGGUGCACCCACGGAGCAGAAUGAAUAGUUUCCUCAAAUCAAACUCUCUGGAAGUGCUGUCAGAGCAGGUACAGCACGAGGAAGCUAGCAGCUUCAGCGAUGAUGGAACCGACUUCAGCUUCAGUUCCUCAGACACUACCUCCAUGAGCUCAAGCAUGUCCAGCUCAGAGGGGGAAGAGGGCCUGAGACAGCAGUAUAAAGAGCCAAACAGCCAUGAUAGUGGUAUGUCCAGUGCCCAGUCAACCUCCACCGACUCAGACAGUAGUUACCCUAUGAAAGGACUCGGAGCUCCCAGGGUGCCACCCAGACCACAAACUCAGGAGAUCCUACGUCGCUGCACGACGUACACUCGUAAAGUUGCUCUCGCAACCUCUGCUCGCCGGGCCUCCGACAGUUGAAGUCAUGGUAAAUAAAUGGACCAUAUGAAAGAGGGGUCAAAUGAUCUCCUUUGGGAUGUUUUGCUGCUUGCUGUUAUGACAGAUGUCUUUUUGCCUCUACAAAUUAUUCAGCAUACAGCUUCUGUAUUAGCUGUGCCCUGGUCUCACAAAACAAAAUGGAUUCUCUGAUGAACAGAAGUUCAACAGAAAUUCAUUGGCCGUUUAUCAAUCAAGGUAAGUAACGUUUUACCACUCCACAUGUCUGUGUUAUUAGUUUUAAAAAUGCGAAGCAGGGCUGCAGGGCCACUUUUCCGCUUCCUACCGAAAUCUCCAGCUGUCCGUGUGAGAGGCAGCUCUGUCCUCAUGAGGGCUGUGGGCAGCAGCAGGUGCUGAGGAAGGAUGCGCAGGCGUAUGAUCAGAGCUGCAGCCACUGGCGACAGCUGUGUCCCAUGUCACAUGGCACAGCUGCACUGUGUAGCCGAGCGGUGGAGACAGAGGUCCAUCGCAGCAAGCCUGCGCAGGAAAAUGCAGUGAAUUCAGAGCCGGAUGACACACAUAAGGAGGGAAAUAAACCUGAUGUAUGAGAGACUGGAGGUUGAUGAUCUAGCGAUUGAAGAAGGAG